rnacentral:rRNA from 1 species
CCCUAGUAACGGCGAGUGAAGCGGCAACAGCUCAAAUUUGAAAUCUGGCGUCUUUGGCGUCCGAGUUGUAAUUUGCAGAGGGCGCUUUGGCAUUGGCAGCGGUCCAAGUUCCUUGGAACAGGACGUCACAGAGGGUGAGAAUCCCGUACGUGGUCGCUAGCCUUUACCGUGUAAAGCCCCUUCGACGAGUCGAGUUGUUUGGGAAUGCAGCUCUAAAUGGGAGGUAAAUUUCUUCUAAAGCUAAAUACUGGCCAGAGACCGAUAGCGCACAAGUAGAGUGAUCGAAAGAUGAAAAGCACUUUGGAAAGAGAGUUAAAAAGCACGUGAAAUUGUUGAAAGGGAAGCGCUUGCAGCCAGACUUGCCUGUAGUUGCUCAUCCGGGUUUUUACCCGGUGCACUCUUCUAUGGGCAGGCCAGCAUCAGUUUGGGCGGUUGGAUAAAGGUCUCUGUCACGUACCUCCUCUCGGGGAGAACUUAUAGGGGAGACGUAAUGCAACCAGCCUGGACUGAGGUCCGCGCAUCUGCUAGGAUGCUGGCGUAAUGGCUGUAAGCGGCCCGUCUUGAAACACGGACCAAGGAGUCUAACAUCUAUGCGAGUGUUUGGGUGUCAAGCCCGAGCGCGUAAUGAAAGUGAACGGAGGUGGGAACCUUUCGGGGUGCACCAUCGACCGAUCCUGAUGUCUUCGGAUGGAUUUGAGUAAGAGCAUAGCUGUUGGGACCCGAAAGAUGGUGAACUAUGCUUGAAUAGGGUGAAGCCAGAGGAAACUCUGGUGGAGGCUCGCAGCGGUUCUGACGUGCAAAUCGAUCGUCAAAUUUGGGCAUAGGGGCGAAAGACUAAUCGAACUAUCUAGUAGCUGGUUCCUGCCGAAGUUUCCCUCAGGAUAGCAGUAACGUUUUCAGUUUUAUGAGGUAAAGCGAAUGAUUAGAGGCCUGGGGGUUGAAACAACCUUCACCUAUUCUCAAACUUUAAAUAUGUAAGAAGUCCUUGUUACUUAAUUGAACGUGGACAGUUGAAUGUAUCGUUACUAGUGGGCCAUUUUUGGUAAGCAGAACUGGCGAUGCGGGAUGAACCGAACGCGGGGUUAAGGUGCCAGAAUAUACGCUCAUCAGACACCACAAAAGGUGUUAGUUCAUCUAGACAGCAGGACGGUGGCCAUGGAAGUCGGAAUCCGCUAAGGAGUGUGUAACAACUCACCUGCCGAAUGAACUAGCCCUGAAAAUGGAUGGCGCUCAAGCGUAUUACCCAUACCCCGCCGCUGGGGCAAGAUUUAAGCCCCAGCGAGUAGGCAGGCGUGGAGGUCCGUGACGAAGCCUGG